GCGUGCGGGCACUCCAUUACUAUGUCCGCGCGUACAUAAAGAUAGGAGGAAGAACAAACCGCCAGGCUUGCGGUGCGUCAGUGUGGAGACCUGACGUAAUGCCGCGCGUCCCAAAGCGGACGGCGGCGAGGCGCGCUCUUGCGGAGGCAGGCGUGCUAAAGCCGGAACAU
rnacentral:ncRNA from 1 species